rnacentral:rRNA from 1 species
CAGUCUACUUGAGUCUUCGGGCUUGGGUGGCGGACGGGUGAGUAACGCGUAAAGAACUUGCCUCACAGACAGGGACAACAUUUGGAAACGGAUGCUAAUACCUGAUAUUAUGAACUAUGCGCAUGCAUAGAUUAUGAAAGCUAAAUGCACUGUGAGAGAGCUUUGCGUCCCAUUAGCUAGUUGGAGAGGUAACGGCUCACCAAGGCGAUGAUGGGUAGCCGGCCUGAGAGGGUGAACGGCCACAAGGGGACUGAGACACGGCCCUUACUCCUACGGGAGGCAGCAGUGGGGAAUAUUGGACAAUGGACCGAGAGUCUGAUCCAGCAAUUCUGUGUGCACGAUGAAGUUUUUCGGAAUGUAAAGUGCUUUCAGUUGGGAAGAAGAAAGUGACGGUACCAACAGAAGAAGCGACGGCUAAAUACGUGCCAGCAGCCGCGGUAAUACGUAUGUCGCAAGCGUUAUCCGGAUUUAUUGGGCGUAAAGCGCGUCUAGGCGGUUUAUUAAGUCUGAUGUGAAAAUGCGGGGCUCAACUCCGUAUUGCGUUGGAAACUGGUAGACUGGAGUACUGGAGAGGUAAG